rnacentral:rRNA from 1 species
UAAUACAGAGGGUGCGAGCGUUAAUCGGAAUUACUGGGCGUAAAGCGCGCGUAGGCGGCUAUACAAGUCGAGUGUGAAAUCCCCGGGCUCAACCUGGGAACUGCAUUCGAGACUGUAUGGCUUGAGUAUGGGAGAGGGAGGCGGAAUUUCAGGUGUAGCGGUGAAAUGCGUAGAUAUCUGAAGGAACAUCAGUGGCGAAAGCGGCCUCCUGGACCAAUACUGACGCUCAUGUGCGAAAGCGUGGGGAGCAAACAGG